UAUAGUCCCAGACAAUCCUAGCCAUCCGUCUGUCCAGAAAAAUUACACCUCAUCAAUAAUCUUUCCACAUCAACUUUACAUACUCUAUAUACAUUGUCAUGUCGGCCGACAAUGAAAUUGUAUUUUUCCGGCGUGGAGUGAACCAAAGUCUCGUCCAGGUUGAGGAAGAUCGUCUGUUUUUUUUUUUUUUUGGGACAUCAACGGUGGGAGGCGAUUUUCGAAGUAAGGUGACCGACAGGUUCGAUCCUCUUCAUGAAAGAGUUUAGAUCACAGCCGAAUUAUGGUUGUGGGAGAUGAUUGAUACUCCUAUUAAAAUAGGGUUCCUGGGAGUUCAGAUUUGGGCGAGUUUGGUGAAGAUCUUGAUCAAGCGACGAUGGCAGGUGUAAAUCGAUUUGUUUAUCGUUGCGACAACGAUGGAAGAGUUGGAUCACGCCAAAGAUUGCAGGUGUCGCAAGCUGAACCAUGCCGCCGAUGUGAAUCAUGUUGCCGUUUCGUGGUCUGAACCACGCCGCCAUCGUGAACCAAGGGUUGUUUCCACUGUAUCAAACUCACCGCCGCCGAUCGUGAGACACUUGGUGUGGUUGUUUCGCCGGAAUACACAGUGGUUGCGAUGGUUGUGAGGGUUUGAAGAAAAUUUGAUGCCGCAAGUGAGAGAAAGAGAGGAAGUUUUAGAGAGGAGUUUAGAGAGAGAAAAAGAGGAAGUUUUAGAGAGAGAGAGAUCAUGCGUCUCCUCUGAUAAGAGCCUUCUACUUUUACACCUAUCCCAUUUCUCAUCCAUUUAGGAGAGAAGCAAGCUUUUUGCUCUCUCUGUGUUAUUCAUUUGAUUUCUUGGGUUUUGUAGCAGUUAGAGAUGGCUGUUCAGGCACAGUUGUAUUUUGAAAAUCUGGGUUGGCUUACGAGCUCUGUUUUGGGGAUUGAAGAUGGAGCUAAUUUCAAUUUUCAAGAACACCCACAACAGUAAGUGUUUCAAUCUAUUGGUUUCAAUAGUAAUAAUAAUAAUCAAGGGGCUUCUUGCUCAUCGAGUGUUGAUCAUAACCAUCCAACAAUGGAGUUUUCUGUCUUUGGCUGCCGAGCUCGAGAAGCAGAGGCAAGAAAUCGACUGGAUUCUUCGUCUACAGAGUGAGAGACUGAGGACAACUCUUCAGGAAGAAACAAGGCAACAAAUUGGGUUUUGCUGAAGCGAAAGCGAAAACGAUGGGUUUUAUGUGGGAGAAAGAGGAAGACUUGGUGACUGCGAAGAAGAGGACAAUGGAGCUCGAGGAGUGCUUGAGAAGGCAGGAGCUGGAGAUGGAAGUGUGGUAGAGAAUCGCGAAAGAGAACGAAGCUAUCCAACAAACUAGAGAGAGAGUCUCUCUCUCCUCCCCAGAUGCGGAGUCCUGUGAUUCAUCUAAUUACAAAGUGGUAAACAGUGAGGCAAAACAGAGCAAAACAAUGGCGCACAGGCUCUGCAAUGCUCGAAGCUCGUGCACUGUGUUUUAUUUCCCAAAAUGACUUAGGUCAAUGUUUAUUUGGGUAAUUUCAACUUAUUCAAUUUUUUUAUUAUUAUUGAAUAAAGAAUAUUGGGAGUAUUUUCAUA